rnacentral:rRNA from 1 species
GACGAACGCUGGCGGCGUGCUUAACACAUGCAAGUCGAACGGAAAGGCCCUGCUUUUUUGGGGUGCUCGAGUGGCGAACGGGUGAGUAACACGUGAGUAACCUGCCCUUUACUUUGGGAUAACUUCAGGAAACUGGGGCUAAUACCGGAUAGGAUCUCCUGCUGCAUGGUGGGGGUUGGAAAGUUUCGGCGGUUGGGGAUGGACUCGCGGCUUAUCAGCUUGUUGGUGGGGUAGUGGCUUACCAAGGCUUUGACGGGUAGCCGGCCUGAGAGGGUGACCGGCCACAUUGGGACUGAGAUACGGCCCAGACUAGUACGGGAGGCAGCAGUGGGGAAUAUUGCACAAUGGGCGGAAGCCGGAUGCAGCAACGCCGCGUGAGGGAUGACGGCCUUCGGGUUGUAAACCGCUUUCGCCUGUGACGAAGCGUGAGUGACGGUAAUGGGUAAAGAAGCACCGGCUAACUACGUG